ACAGAUCGUUCAGAGUUUGAUCCUGGCUCAGGACGAACGCUGGCGGCGUGCCUAACACAUGCAAGUCGAGCGAAGCAUUUUGGAAAGCUUGCUUUUUAGAAUGACUGAGCGGCGGACGGGUGAGUAACGCGUGAGCAACCUGGCCUUUACAGGGGAAUAACAGUUGGAAACGACUGCUAAUACCGCAUAACACUUUAGAAUCGCAUGAUUCAGAAGUCAAAGAUUUUAUCGGUAAAGGAUGGGCUCGCGUCCCAUUAGCUAGUUGGUGGGGUAACGGCCUACCAAGGCAACGAUGGGUAGCCGACCUGAGAGGGUGAUCGGCCACACUGGAACUGAGACACGGUCCAG
rnacentral:rRNA from 1 species